AGACAUCCAUCAGCAGCAAAACAUUCUUGUGCAAGGCUCCGGGCAAGCAGGAGUCAAACAUUCAAGUGCAAGGCUCAGUAUUUCAGCAUAUUCAGUAAAAGUUGAGCUUUUAUUUAGAGCCUACUGUGUGCCAGGCAUUGUGCUAAAUGCUGGGAAGACAGAGAAAGAUGAAGAAAAUGAAUGCCAGAGUUUAAAUGACAUGCCCAAGGUCACGGGUGCUCAGUAGCAGAAGACUUGGAAUUCAAGACCAGGUCGUCUGCCUCCAAACUCUGCUCUUUCUACUAGCCCGGCGGUCUCCAAAGUGGGGUCCUGGCCAACUGGAGAGCUGUGGGAUGACCCUAAAGAGGGUGUGACCAACCAGUCCGAGGGAGGGAGGGAAGAUCUAUUCCAUUCCACCCUCCACAAAGUAGCACAGGGCUUGCCUCCAGCAACCACAUUCCCAGCUCUCUGCACCCUCCAGAGGGCUGUACAAUCUUCCAGACACUCCCUUUUGGCCCCAGAAUGAGCCCCUCAGGGCAGUUUUAACCUAACCUUCACCAGGGCACCUGCUUCAGCAGCUGUGAAGGUGCCAGUGGGUAAAUUCUCCCCCUUACACUACCCCAGGGGACCCACAGACUGUUUUCCCAAGUCACCUGGUAGCGACAAGUUUCCUUUGGCUGGCUCUGAAUUGUCAAGUAUGGUUAAAAAAAAAAUGGUCAUGAAAAGAUCAGAAUUGUCCCUUAAAUCCUAUCUCUGAUGUGGGUAACAAAGGGUGAUUUGUGUGAGAACA